rnacentral:rRNA from 1 species
GUAGGGAAUAUUGGGCAAUGGAUGCAAGUCUGACCCAGCCAUCCCGCGUGCCGGAAGAAGGCCCUCAGGGUUGUAAACGGCUUUUGACGGUGAAGAAUCGACAGGAUGCGUCCUGUUUUGACGGCAGCCGUUGAAUAAGCACCGGCUAACUCCGUGCCAGCAGCCGCGGUAAUACGGAGGGUGCGAGCGUUGUCCGGAUUUAUUGGGUUUAAAGGGUGCGUAGGCUGGAAGGUCAGUCAGCGGUGAAAAGCUGUCGCUUAACGAUAGUCUUGCCGCAGAUACUUCCUUUCUUGGAUGAGGAGGAGGCCACUGGAACGGAUGGUGUAGCGGUGAAAUGCAUAGAUAUCAUCCAGAACACCGAUUGCGAAGGCAGGUGGCUGUACCUUAAUCGACGCUGAUGCACGAAAGCAUGGGGAGCAAACAGGAUUAGAUACCCCUGUAGUCC